CGGAGGAUCCAAGCGUUGUCCGGAAUCAUUGGGUUUAAAGGGUCCGUAGGCGGGUUUAUAAGUCAGUGGUGAAAGCCCAUCGCUCAACGAUGGAACGGCCAUUGAUACUGUAGAUCUUGAAUUAUUAGGAAGUAACUAGAAUAUGUAGUGUAGCGGUGAAAUGCUUAGAGAUUACAUGGAAUACCAAUUGCGAAGGCAGGUUACUACUAAUGGAUUGACGCUGAUGGACGAAAGCGUGGGUAGCGAACAGGAUUAGAUACCCUGGUAGUCCACGCCGUAAACGAUGGAUACUAGCUGUUCGGAGCAAUCUGAGUGGCUAAGCGAAAGUGAUAAGUAUCCCACCUGGGGAGUACGUUCGCAAGAAUG
rnacentral:rRNA from 1 species